ACAACACUACAUUUAACAUCUUUGCUGUUUGGAAAAUUAUAGUAACAUGUUUGACCAAGCUUUGCCUAGUAUGUAGGCAUGCCAGUAUGGUUGUGUGUUUCCACAUCACGUUUUUUUUUUAAAAUACCAUAUUAUCCCUAUCUUGAUCAAGUUCCCCUGGGGCAAUUUUCAACAAUCACAAUUUUUGCAUUCACAACAUGCAAGACUUAAAAAUACUAACUGAUGUUAAAUUUUGUCAAUUUCUUUUCUCAUUUUGAAGUGAUUUGUUUUGAAAAACAUUUAAUUUUACUACUUAUUUUGAACAUUUCAAUGACCAGAUAUCAAAGUAAACUAUAUAGAUAUCCCCCUUUUCCAUUCAAAGUACCCAGGGUACUGAAUAGGAAUGAUAUGGUAAUUGGACAAAUUUGAGUUUUAUAAUACAUGUACAAUCAAUUUACAGUCUGAAAAAAAUGGUGAUGCUGCUAUCAUUUUUGUUAAAAUAGAAUUGUAAAAAUAUAGAUUCAGAAUUUUUAUCAGUCAUUUUCAUCGCUCGAUUCAUAUCUUAUAAUGGCAGUUAGCUUGGUCAAUAUCAUGAAUGAGCACUUCAUUGGAAGCCCAUAGCCUGUUUCACUUAGACUUACAAUCAAUAUUGAGACUACAUGGUCAUGGGUUUCGGAUGACGGAAUGUGAAAUACAUGUUCUGGUAUGUACAUUAUAUAACUCGAUCAAAAACUCAUUCUCUACUUUGUAAUGGUGUGUCAUAUGACUUGUGUGAUGUUUUAUUCCAUUAGUGGAAAUCCAUAAGGAAAUUUUUUGAAAAUAUUUGUAGCGGUAUCUAAUUUAUAGACUUUUUAUCAAUGGAAUCUAGGAAAGGCUUCUGAUGGAAAAUCUUCUGCUUUAAACAACAAGCAAAGAAAAUGUCACCGAGUAUAAACAUAAAUUUCCUUUAUAAAAAUUCUAACUGCAGCCAUUGUAAUGUAUUGCAUCUGUCCAUGUAUGGUUUUGGUGUACACUGUUGAAUUGUGCCAAAAGAUGACAGUUCUUGUUAUAACAUCAACCUAUUGCAUCAAGUAAUAAACAUUGUAGAUG
rnacentral:sRNA from 1 species